UUCCAUUGGGGUGGCAAUUUCAUGGCCUAAAAUCUAAACUCAAGGAAUUUUACACUUCAAAUGGAUGCAGUUAUUGCAUGUAAAUUGAUACUGCAAUAAUUCGAUUUUUGAAAAAUGCAGGUACCCUCUUGCAGUAAGCACUGCUGGCUGCCCACCCAACCGCCCUUACCCCCUUUUUUGCUCCUGGAACUCUUGUGUCACAGGCCAAUCCUGAUGAGUCUACGUUGGUGAAGUGUGAGCCUCCCAUUCUCCUUGCCAGUGAUUGGCUUACAGGUCCCCUUCAAAUUAAGUCAUCUCUUCUUCAAGGCUCAGUCAUAUAAAUUUCAAAGGACACGUGGCCAUGCUCCAUACCAGCUGUUCUGAGAACCAGUCCUGGAUGACAUCAGUUGGGAUUGUUGACAGACUUGAAAAGUACCCAGAUGACAUCUGAGGACGGGAAUGACUAAGAGAAGGAUUCUAGAUGCAAAGCACUUCAUCAAAACACAUUUCUCCGACUAGCCCAUGAUCCCAGAGUCAGUCCUGAAGCCCAUGCUUUCUGUGAUCCAGGCUUCAUUAUCCUAGGAGUUGAUGGGAGAACUGUUGAUAAACAAACCCAUGAAUCGCCUCCAACCCUUUAAGCCCAUCACUUUGACCUUCUCAUUGGGGCGCUCUGCCGAGCUUUGAACCAGGAGCUCACCGGUGGAUUUGUGACUCAUCUCCCAAAUGCUCCCUGAAGAGCUGCAAAUAAACAGUGGACUGGCCAACAGACACGCAGCAGGGGAGAGUAGAGACGCCUCCAGAGGACCCGAGGGAGCUGAUGGGAGGGUGUGGGGCUGACUCCAUGUACUCCGGAACCAGACAUGGGAAUCACAGCAGACUAGUUCCAAUCACCUGAGCUUUGCAGUAUUUCAAAUACCUCCCCCAAAAGGCUUUAGCAAACUCAAUAGUGCCAUGUUGGCACCAGGGAAAGCAACACUCCUGUCACUAAGGGGCUGGGAUGUGAUCUGGAGUCACUUUGGGCAGGCUCAGAAGGUCGUGACACCACCACAAAUGAGGCCAGCCAGUGCCGUCUGGUUCAGAUACUGGCUGAGAGCAAUCCUCAAUUUUCCUCUAGUUCCUUGCUGGGGAUUCUAGCCCAUGUUGCUCUAGAACAGUGGUUCUCUUCUGAGGACGAUUCUGCCCCCAAUCUCCCACCAAGGGGACAUUUGGCAAUGUUUGGAGACAUUUUUGAUUGUCACAGCUUGAAGGAGGAUGAUAGUGGCAUCUCAUGGGUAGAUCCAGGGAUGCUGCUAAACUCCUACAAUGCACAGGGCAGCCCCUACAACAAAUUAUUCAGCCUCAAAUGCCAACAGUGCUGAGGCUGAGAAACUCUGGUCUAGAAUCAGGGCACUUGAAACCUCCUGGGCAUCCAAUCUGGAAUCAUGACCCCUAAGCACCUUAGGGAAGCUAUGGACUCUGUCCCUAGGGAAAAAAAAAUACUACAUAUAUAUUAAUAUACGCAUACGCAGACAAAGCUUUGCAGCUUUGCAGGAGGGUUCAUCAACCCCUGGUGUCCACUCAUGAAUACCCCUCAAUCCCAGACACCCAAGGAUAUUGAGAUAGGGUACUCUUAGGGGACAGUCUAUUUUUUAUGCUUACAAAUAAAAUGCUGUGUCAAGACCAGCGAUAUGAGGCCUGCUUAUGGCAUACAUAACUGGGACACAGCAUGCUCAAAGUCAUAGGUCAGGAAAAUCCCAAACAAUCGGAGACAGGGCUGGGCUUACCAUGCCA